AGCCCCAGGAGUAAGCGCUUUUCCGUCCCUCGCGCCCCCUCCCCUCUCUUCCUUCUCAGUCGGCCGGAGGGCGGGAGCCCGGAGUCACGCGGGAGGUCGUGUCACCGCCCACAAUGGCGAGGCCUCCAGCUCUUGGCAGUUAAAAGUCACCUUAUACAGGAAUGGUGCUGGGCACGAAUGCAAUGUGGCUUUUGGUGGCUUCUGACGGACAGUUCUGUGCCAAAGGGGUGGAAGUGGCUGCCGAGGUCCCAAAGUUAAAAUUUCACACGCCAGCCAUGGGCAAACAGGCACUAAGCAGAAUUAGCUGGAAGUUGAAGGGGUGGACUUGAGUCUUUGAAAUGUCUGUGCCAACCAUUUCUGGGCUUACAGGCCACUGUCAUGGAUGGCUUGCUUGGGGUGCUGAGUUUGAAGAACUUCAUAUAAAGGUGUGAAGAGUUGGGGUGGCUUACAAGGCCUGGAACAAGGAGUUUUAAGCCAAGGCAGACUUGCAACCUGAAGAUACAGAGGGCAUUUAUGAGAGCAGCACUCCAGUUGAAAGGCAUCUGAAUGGAAGCUCAUGAGAUAGAACAUAAAAUUUUCAGUUUCAAUAAAUUUUUAUA